CCUACGGGAGGCAGCAGUGGGGAAUAUUGCGCAAUGGGCGAAAGCCUGACGCAGCGACGCCGCGUGAGGGAUGAAGGUCUUCGGAUCGUAAACCUCUGUCAGCAGGGAAGCACGGUCACUGUGCUAAUCAGCAGUGAAUUGACGGUACCUGCAAAGGAAGCACCGGCUAACUCCGUGCCAGCAGCCGCGGUAAUACGGAGGGUGCGAGCGUUAAUCGGAAUUACUGGGCGUAAAGCGCUCGUAGGCGGUAUGUCAAGUCAAGGGGGAAAUCCCCGCGCUCAACGUGGGAACUGCCUUUGAAACUGGCAAACUGGAGUGUGUGAGAGGAUAGUGGAAUUCCAGGUGUAGGAGUGAAAUCCGUAGAUAUCUGGAGGAACAUCAGUGGCGAAGGCGACUAUCUGGCACAUAACUGACGCUGAGGAGCGAAAGCGUGGGUAGCAAACAGGAUUAGAUACCCCAGUAGUC
rnacentral:rRNA from 1 species